rnacentral:tRNA from 1 species
GCCUGGGUGGCUCAGUCGGUUAAGCGUCUGACUUCGGCUCAGGUCAUGAUCUUACGGUUCAUGGGUUCGAGCCCCAUGUCGGGCU